rnacentral:sRNA from 1 species
AAUCCUAGCUGAUGAUCCUGGGACAGCUGCCUAACCUUUCCAGACCCUCAGUUUCCUCUGUCAAAAAAUGGGAAUGAUGCCAUUUACCUUACAGAAGCAUUGUGAAGAAUAAGUGACAUCAUGCAUGCAGGGCCCAGCACAUGAUGCCUCUGGGCAGAGCAGCAGGAAUGACUGGCAGGUGCUACAGCCCGAGGGCCCCAUGCUGGUGGCAGAAGGCGAGACACUUCUACUGAGGUGUAUGGUGGUUGGCUCCUGCACUGAUGGUAUGAUAAAAUGGGUGAAGGAGCUGGGGACCCUGAACCAGACCUGUGGAUCAUCCAGCCCCAGGAAUUGGUGUUGGGGACCACUGGAGACACUGUCUUUCUGAACUGCACAGUGCUUGGAGACGGUCCCCCCGGACCCAUCAGGUGGUUCCAGGGAGCUGGUCUGAGCCGGGAGGCCAUUUACAACUUUGGAGGCAUCUCCCACCCCAAGGCGACAGCGGUGCAGGCCUCCAACAAUGACUUCAGCAUUCUUCUGCAAAACGUCUCC